UGUGAGUUUGUUCUCAAAGUAGACUCCGGUAAAUAAUUUCCUCCAUUCCAAAAAUACUGAAUCUUAGGAGUCCCCACCACACUCUCUCUUUAUUUCUCCCUUUAUUUCUCUCGGUCUCCAAUCAGCAUGGUGUGUGUAGAAGCCAUCAGAUGAGCACAAUAGACAGAAUCCACAGAACCAGGAUUCUUCUACCUUUGAUGAUAUGCCUGUACUGGAAGAAGUAACUAGUGAACCCACUUCUGACCUAACUCUAGAUGGCGCCACCAGUCCCUGGCAGGACCAGGGUUCUAGCUGUGGUGAGAUGCCAGUACUGGAGGAAGAGGCGAAAUGCUACUACCACUACUGACCUAUCUCAAGGUGGCGCCACCAGUAAAGAAAAUAAAAGGCCCAUGGAGUUGGUGGAAUCGCCUUUUAAUUCAUGGGCCCUUGCUCAGCUGGUCCAGAGCGCUUUAAUUAGGUCAGGUGGAAAUGUCUGACACAUCUCAACUCAUUAAAGGAAGAAAUAUCCACCGCCUGACAUUGCUGCUUUCUCUUCCCCAACUCCGUCUAAUCCAGACAUUCUGUGCGUCCACGAAUCAACGUAAAUUCACAGAAUCUGUUAUCUUUCAUCUGUUAUCUUUCAUCUGAACUAUCUGUUGCGAUUGGGAGAGCAUCAGUUAGUGUUUAUAGUUAUUACCGCGGAGCGCACGCUUCAAACCUAUUGUGUUAUGUAAAUAGUAAAUGAUCACGGACCAACAGAUCAUCACGGGAUAAUUACGCCAUUGAUAAAUGGUUAAAAUGUAACAAAAUGACAUGUACAUAUGAAGACAAACCUGGAAGGAUUAAAUAUGAAACAUAAUUAUUGAAAAAUCCUGAUAUCAAACUAAUUGAGAUUAUAGAUUGAGAUCCUAAAUGACUCAAUCAUGCUUCAUAUUGAAUUCCUAUUGAACUGAAUUGCUGAAUUACCUCAUUACGUUAAUGAUGAGAAUGAUUGUUAUGAUUUGACUUUCUGAUUUGAAUUUGAUUGGAUACA